rnacentral:rRNA from 1 species
UGGGGAAUAUUGGGCAAUGGGCGAAAGCCUGACCCAGCGACGCCGUGUGGGCGAUGAAGGCCUUCGGGUUGUAAAGCCCUGUGAGGUGGAAAGAAGGGUCCAGAGGUUAAUACCCUUUGGACUUUGACGGUACCACCAGAGGAAGCACCGGCUAAAUCCGUGCCAGCAGCCGCGGUAAUACGGAGGGUGCAAGCGUUGUUCGGAAUUACGGGGCGUAAAGGGCGCGUAGGUGGUUGUGUAAGUCAAAUGUGAACUCCUUAGGCUUAACCUGAGAACUGCAUCUGAUACUGCAGGAUGCGAGUACAGCAGAGGGAAACGGAAUUCCUGGUGUAGAGGUGAAAUUCGUAGAUAUCAGGAGGAACACCGGUGGCGAAGGCGGUUUCCUGGGCUGAUACUGACACUGAGGCGCGAAAGCGUGGGGAGCAAACA